UACAGAGGUCCCAAGCGUUGUUCGGAUUCACUGGGCGUAAAGGGUGCGUAGGUGGCGCGCUAAGUCAGGUGUGAAAUUUCGGAGCUUAACUCCGAAACUGCAUUUGAUACUGGCGUGCUUGAGGACUGGAGAGGAGACUGGAAUUUACGGUGUAGCAGUGAAAUGCGUAGAGAUCGUAAGGAAGACCAGUGGCGAAGGCGGGUCUCUGGACAGUUCCUGACACUGAGGCACGAAGGCCAGGGGAGCAAACGGG
rnacentral:rRNA from 1 species